rnacentral:rRNA from 1 species
GAUUAACGCUGGCGGCAUGCCUAAUACAUGCAAAUCGAACGAAGCACUUGUGCUUAGUGGUGAACGGGUGAGUAACACGUAUCCAAUCUACCCUUAGGUUGGGGAUAACUGGUCGAAAGACUAGCUAAUACCGAAUAUCAAUACUCCUAUCGCAUGAGAAAGUAUUGAAAGAUCCUUUUGGAUCGCCUUUGGAUGAGGGUGCGGCAUAUCAGAUAGUUGGUGAGGUAACGGCUCACCAAGUCAAUGACGUGUAGCUGUACUGAGAGGUAAAACAGCCACAAUGGGACUGAGACACGGCCCAUACUCCUACGGGAGGCAGCAGUAGGGAAUUUUUCACAAUGGGCGAAAGCCUGAUGGAGCAAUGCCGCGUGAAUGAUGAAGGUCUUACAGAUUGUAAAAUUCUUUUAUUUGGGAAGAACGACCACGAUAGGAAAUGAUCGUGGAAUGACUGUACCAUUUGAAUAAGUAUCGGCUAACUAUGUGCCAGCCGCCGCCGUAACAC